rnacentral:tRNA from 1 species
GGAGAGAUGGCCGAGUGGACGAAGGCGUUCGCCUGCUAAGCGAAUGUAGGGUCAAAAGCUCUACCGAGGGUUCGAAUCCCUCUCUCUCCGCCA